CCUAUUUCCUCAACUAUUGACUGUGAAAAAAUCUUCAUACAAUGCCGGCGUAACUGCCAGUCCUUCUCUCGCCGAGUGCUGUUGCAAAUCCUCCAACCCUCUCUCCUUUCUUACCCUUAUUGUGGACAAACCAGUUCUACACAGUCAUUUACCAGUGGGAAUAGUCGUGACUAGCAGAAUCCACACAUGCGUUCGCUAACGACAUAUUCCGAAAAUAGUGAACUGGUUCAGUUAUAAUCCAUUCUCUUCGACACUUGCAUAUUAUACAAACUAUUCAUCUCUUCCGGCUUUCAUUGUUUUCAUUUUGGAAUCUUUUUAGUAUUUUCAUUUGUCAUUGCAUUUAAGUAAUUAUACUGAACAGCUGUACAUCAUGUCGGCAUCGGUGAAUUCUAUCAUUUGUCAAAGAAGUGGAAAGUCCCAGCUUUGGAAUGCUAUUUUGAUGAAAACUGAUGUAAAAAGCCGGAUUAAGCUUUCUAGCAGCUUUUGAGCAAUGGAAGUCUUAGACAGGUUGUACCGUUAUCAACCCCAAACCAUUUCUUCAAUCCUUAAUGCUGAAAAAUGUUAGAGUAACUACAAAAUGCCAUCAGGAAUAUGUUGGAAGACUGAUAAGUAGUGAUUCAUAUAUGAAUGUUGAGCUUCACAAUGUAAUAGGAUAUCAACAGGGUAGGAAGUUUUGUGAUAUGAUUGAAGCUGCUGUACGCUGCAAUAACAUAGUAUAUAUUCAUGAGAUUGACAGAGAAGUCUAUGAGCAGGAAAUGAGGCAAAGGGAAGCUGAGCUAAUUAAAGCAUGUGAAGAAGAGAAAUAAGCAGACUGAUAUGGAGGUUUUGGGGCAAUAAAACAUUAGAUAUCAUUAAUUGAUGUUUCUGCUGUGUGUUUCAUCAUUUUUUGAAUUCAUUUGAUGGAAUGUCAGGAAAUAUUUUAAACUUUUUAUGAGCAAUAAUUUUUUUUUUCUAUCUGAUCACUAUCAUGUAUGAAAUUUUUAUUUCCGAUAUGCCACUGUACAUUUCCCUCCCUCCUUUGUAUUGUGAAUAAAUAUUUUUAUAUCA